AUCUAGCUGACGAGUCCCAAAUAGGACUAAACGCGCGUCCUGGAU
rfam:Schistosoma mansoni strain Puerto Rico chromosome 2, complete genome